rnacentral:rRNA from 1 species
UUUUUACAAUGAAGAGUUUGAUCCUGGCUCAGGAUGAACGCUAGCGGCAGGCUUAACACAUGCAAGUCGAGGGGUAACAGGGAGAAGCUUGCU